AACGCACAUUGCGCCCUUUGGUAUUCCUUAGGGCAUGCCUGUUCGAGCGUCAUUUCAACCCUCAAGCGCAGCUUGGUGUUGGGCGAACCGUCCCGGAAACCCCCCCUCGGGGGGCCAGCGGACCCGCCUCAAAUGCAUUGGCGGCCGGUACCUUGGCUUCGAGCGCAGCAGAAACGCGGACUCGGGGCCUUGGGGCCGAUCCCCCAGAAGCUACCCACUAUGUUUGACCUCGGAUCAGGUAGGGAUACCCGCUGAACUUAA
rnacentral:misc_RNA from 1 species